UGCAACCUGAACUCAGAUGUGAUUACCCGCUGAAC
rnacentral:rRNA from 1 species